AGAGUUUGAUCCUGGNUCCCCCUUUAAAGGGAGNGGNAGGCCUAACACAUGCAAGUCGAGCCCUCANAANGAUUGAGCUUGCUUAAUUGGUGGCGACCGGCGCACGGGUGCGUAACGCGUAUGCAACCUACCUUAUACUGGGGUAUAGCCCGGAGAAAUUCGGAUUAAUCCCCCAUAGUAUUAUUGAAUGGCAUCAUUUAAUAAUUAAAGGUUACGGUAUAAGAUGGGCAUGCGUCCCAUUAGCUAGAUGGUGAGGUAACGGCUCACCAUGGCAACGAUGGGUAGGGGGCCUGAGAGGGUGGUCCCCCACACUGGUACUGAGACACGGACCAGACUCCUACGGGAGGCAGCAGUGAGGAAUAUUGGUCAAUGGGCGCAAGCCUGAACCAGCCAUGCCGCGUGCAGGAAGACGGUCCUAUGGAUUGUAAACUGCUUUUAUUCGGGAAUAAACCUCUUUACGUGUAGAGAGNUGAAGGUACCGAAUGAAUAAGCACCGGCUAANUCCGUGCCAGCAGCCGCGGUAAUACGGAGGGUGCAAGCGUUAUCCGGAAUCAUUGGGUUUAAAGGGUCCGCAGGCGGUCUUAUAAGUCAGUGGUGAAAGCCUACAGCUCAACUGUAGAACUGCCAUUGAUANUGUAAGACUUGAAUUCGAUNGAAGUGGGCGGAAUAUGACAUGUANCGGUGAAAUGCUUAGAUAUGUCAUAGAACACCNAUAGCGAAGGCAGCUCACUAGGUCUGGAUUGACGCUCA
rnacentral:rRNA from 1 species